rnacentral:lncRNA from 10 species
CUCGCCUCGGCGCCGCGGCCGGCAUUUCUCCUCGCAGCUCGCUGCCUCCUCUAUCCCUGCCUCCCUCUCCCCCCUCUGUUUUUCUCCCUUCCUUCCCUCUCCGACCCUCUUCCUCUCCCUCCCGAUCCUUUCCCUCCUCCUCUCAUCUUUCCCCUGUCUCUCCGUUCUAGCUCGUCCCCCACCCCACCUUUUCUUCUUUCUCCUCCUCUCCUUCCUCUCCCCCUCUCCUCUGUCUCCUUCCACCGUCUCCCCUGCCUCCCUGUCUUUCAGUCCCUGUUUUUCAGCCCCGUCUCCCUCUCGGUUUCUCUCCCCCACCCUCCCUCCGGGUUUCCUCCCCGGUGCCCUCCCUCCUCUCUCCCUCCCCUCCCCCUCCGCCCCUCGCAGCCCCGCCGCUCGCAGCUCCCAGUCUGCCUCCCCGAACCGGCGCCGCCGCCCGCACUCGCCGCAGGACCGGCCCGCCCGGCUCCCGGGGUGCGCCCUCCUCGGUCCCGCGCCCUCCGGGCUCGCAGGGACGUCUCCUCCCUCCCGGCUCGCGGCCCCGCCCGGCCCGGCCCCCGCCCAGAGCCCCAGCGCGCCGAGGAUGUGAGUCCUGCUCGCCUCUGGCGGAGCAGCAGCCACUCGCGCGCGGAGCCGGAGCGCAGCGCAGCGCAGCCGCGGGCGCUCUCCGGGCCGCUCGCGCGAGUGCCGCGCUCUUGCCCUAGCGGCGUCCCCCGGCCUCUCGCCGGCGCCACCGCCGCAGCAGCCCGCGGGCCGUCCCCGGCCGGCCGCCCCCGGCCGCCCAAGCUGGGCCAGAUCGGCCGGAGCAAGCGGGUUGUUAUUGAAGAUGAUAGGAUUGAUGACGUGCUGAAAAAUAUGACCGACAAGGCACCUCCUGGUGUCUAACUCCCCCAAAGACAAUGAGUUAAGGGAGAGAAUAAGAACGGCGGUAACAGUUAUUGGCAAAAAGCAUGAAAAGAGAAAGCACUUUGAAAUUUAUUACUAGCUUGCUACCCACGAUGAAAUCAACAACCUGUAUCUGGUAUCAGGCCGGGAGACAGAUGAGGCGAGAGGAGGAGGAGGAGGAGGAGAAGGCUCUGGGCUCCUCUGCAAAAAUAAAAAUAAAAAAAUAAAUAAAAUUUUAAAAAUAAUAAAAAUUCACUAUAUACACAUAUAAAGAAAUAAAAAGAAGUCUCAGUUGCAGCUAUUUGUCAAAAUUAAUAUCCAUUUCUUUUUAUAUACGGUGAAUAUUGCGCAAUUAUAGAUCUGGAUUUUGAACCACUUAAUGAAGCGGCAACACCAGGUGUUUUGAGGUGUUGGCAUUCUUCGCUGAUUUGGCUGUUCCCAAUGUUUACAUUAUUUAAUCUUGCAAAAAUGGUUCUGUGCACUUGGAUGUGAAAUGCUGUCCAGUUUUAUUUUUUUUAUGUUGUUAUCCUUGGAUGUACAAAAAAUUCAGAAAAUGAUCUCUGUAGAUAUUCUGUUUUAUUUUGGUCAUCUUUAGAAGUUAUCAGGAAUGUGUUUAAAACAAGAAGAGAACUUUUCUAAGGAAUGAUACAUAGAAAAGAUUUUAUUUUAAAAUGAGUUGUAAAGCUUGUGUUUCUUUGUUGCUGCAAGCUAUCUGCCCAAGUUAAUGCAAAUGGACACAUUUUUUAUGUCAGAAAAACACACACACACACACACACACACACACACACACACGAAAAACAAAGAAAAAAAUGCUUGAGCUUUUUCUAACUUCCCCUUGCAGUCUGUUGUGUGAGCAGCCUGUUUAUUUCUCUAAUAUUAUGUCAGUUUAUUCUCUUUAAUGGACUGUAAAAAAAUGUAAUCACAAGAGUGCCAAAUAUCUUGAAAUGCCAAAAGGCAUUUUAGUUUCUUUUCUCUGUGCUCUGAGUCCACGUACAGGAAUGCUUGGAGUGUCUUUUCUGUUAUUUAUAGGGAUUCUCUUAAGGCACACCAGCUGCCUGUUUUGCAUGGUAUUUGCAAAAAUGCCUCUUGCGUGAGGAAAUCUUUUACCAUUUUUUGUUUGCAACUUUGGACCUCAAGAGGUUUCCCUUCCCUUCCCCGUUCCCUCUUUUCUUAAUUCAAUAUUCUGUAUGUUGCACCUUGAACCAGCACACAGGGCUAUUUCUCCAAUGUACAAUAAAAGAAUUGUUCCUGUGUCUCA